rnacentral:lncRNA from 1 species
GCUGUCCGUGCUGGGUGAUUCUAACCUGCUCUCACUGUUAGAUGUCACUUCAGUGCUAGAUAUAGGAGGUGGUGGCCUUGGAGGGAUCCUAGGCAAAGGAGGCAGCAGCGGCAAACCCCUGGAUUCACUCUCCCAAGCCACCGGUGCCGUCAGCAACCUGCUUCCACUGAAUCAGGAUAUUCUGGGUGGCAUAGUCCCUGGCGGUCCAGACAAGAACCCCGUAAAAGGACUCCUCGACAGCACUGGUGUGUCUGGCCUCCAGGAGCCCCUGAGCGACGUGGUGGAAAAAGCUAACGGCCUCAAGGAAUCCACGAAGGACGUGGUGAAGGGUGCCCUGCCGCCAGACGUCAAAGAUGCAGUCUCAGGCCUGCUGGGAAACAUUAACCUGGAAGAGCUCUUGUUGGGAUUAGAGGUCCAAGAAGUGACUGUGGAUAGCAUGGAGUCGUCUGUGGCAGGCAAUGAGAUCCACGUCCGUGCUGCCACUACUGCCACCAUAGGUGGAAAAGGGUGAGACUGUUUUCACAAAAGCCAACUGGGUCACUCAAGACCAGAGCUUUAAGUUCCAGGGUCCAAAGCCCAGACUUGGAGGAUACAGAGUGCCACAAAGUGGGGGAGGAAGGUGCAAGCAUACAGCUCCCCUUCACCCCCAGCCCAGAGGCGCGAGGCUGGAGAUAGGCCCCCCGGGGAGUUUCAGCCUUCACUGGUGUAAGCAAAGACAUUCAUGGGAAAUCUGCCCCAGUUCAUACCCAGGCAGUGAAGCUAGAAGCCACAGAGAACAGACCUUAUUGUGACAUCUCCAUUGGUCUCAUGUGAAACAUACCUUCCAAAUACUCGAGGCUCCAUUAGGAUCAGCCCACUCUGCUCCAACACUGUUCUAAUCAGUUGGGGAAACAGAGAUGACUCACAGAUUUCACAUCCCUGCAUGCAUUCAUUCAUUCAUCCACU